UACAGAGGUCUCAAGCGUUGUUCGGAUUCAUUGGGCGUAAAGGGUGCGUAGGUGGUGAUGCAAGUCUGGUGUGAAAUCUCGGAGCUCAACUCCGAAAUUGCACCGGAUACUGCGUGACUCGAGGACUGUAGAGGAGAUCGGAAUUCACGGUGUAGCAGUGAAAUGCGUAGAUAUCCGGAGGAACACCGGUGGCGAAGGCGGCUUCCUGGACCGACACUGACGCUGAGGCGCGAAAGCUAGGGGAGCAAACGGG
rnacentral:rRNA from 1 species